rnacentral:rRNA from 1 species
UACGUAGGGUGCAAGCGUUGUCCGGAAUUAUUGGGCGUAAAGGGCUCGUAGGCGGUCCAUCGCGUCGGGAGUGAAAAGCUGGGGCUUAACCCCAGUCCUGCUUCCGAUACGGGUGGACUAGAGGUAGGCAGGGGAGAACGGAAUUCCUGGUGUAGCGGUGAAAUGCGCAGAUAUCAGGAAGAACACCUAUGGCGAAGGCAGCUCUCUGGGACGGUACUGACGCUGAGACGCGAAAGCGUGGGGAGCGAACAGG